rnacentral:rRNA from 1 species
UACGAAGGGUGCAAGCGUUACUCGGAAUUACUGGGCGUAAAGCGUGCGUAGGUGGUGGUUUAAGUCCGUUGUGAAAAGCCCCUGGGCGUCAACCCUAGGGAAGUUAGUCAGUGGGAGUACUGGAUCACUAGAGUGUGGUAGAGGGAGUGCGGAAUUUCUGGUGUAGCAGUGAAAUGCGUAGAGAUCAGAAGGAACAUCCGUGGCGAAGGCGGCAUCCUGGGCCAACACUGACACUGAGGCACGAAAGCGUGGGGAGC